UCCAAUGCACAACACUCUAGCUUUAGUAUUUUGUCUGAUCUCUGAAGCUAAGCAGGGUUGGGCCUGGGCAGCACGUGGAUGGGAGACCUCUGAGAAUACAAUAGGGCUAUGAUGGGG
rnacentral:rRNA from 1 species